GCCUACUGCCAUAGCACCCUUAACACGCCCAAUCUCAUCUGAUAUCGGAAGCUAAGCAGGGUCGGGCCCGGUUAGUACACGUAUGGGAGAGCGCCUGGGAAUACCAGUUGUAGACU
rnacentral:rRNA from 1 species